CGGGGGCUGGGGUGGAGGCGGCGUGGUCGGCGCUGGGCCCGAUGUCUUCCACGAGCGGGAGCGGGGGCGGUGACCGGGGUGCACACGGAGGGGGAGGGGGAGACGGAGGCGCUUCCCAUCAUCGCGAUCCCGCUCACGCGGCGAUAAGCGACGCGCCGUAGGCUUCUACUUGUCUCUACCAAAAAUUUUUGUGUGCUGGUAAUCAAUUGUUGUUCAUGGAUUGAGGGGCGGACGGAUGUCUUCUAUUCCAUGAGCCGCAGCGGAGUCGGAGUUGGGGGCGGAGCAGCAGACGUGCCCGGCCGCCAUCCUCAUCAGGCGGCAAUUGCAGUGUUUGCUUCUACUUUUUCUCUCUACUAAUUGCUUGAUUAUUGGUCGUCGUUUGUUUGGCAUGAGGUUGCAUUCCGGGUUUGUUGAAAUCACAAGUCACCAACGAAUUGAUCGGCUCUCUUGGAUAUGUCCUCUUGUUGGAGAAAUUUGGAUUAUUAUCGGAAGUCUGCUAGCUGAGUGUGCUAAUUAAUCGGAAGUCUGCUACCUGAAUGUGCUAGCUAGGUUAUGGGACUGAAGAGAUAGGGGGUAUGGAUUUCGUUCAAGAAUAAGCACAGAUUACUAGAGUUCUUUGGAACUAUGGUUUUUAUGGAACUGGAAGAAUAAGAACAGAUUACUGGAAUUCUUUGGAACUAUGGUUUUUAUGGAACUGGAAGAAUAAGAACAGAUUACUGGAAUUCUUUGGAACUAUGGUUUUUAUGGAACUGGAAGAAUAAGAACAGAUUAUUGGAAUUCUUUGAAACUAUGGUUUUUAUGGAACUGGAAGAAUAAGAAUAGAUUACUGGAAUUCUUUGAAACUAUGGUUUUUAUGGAACUGGAAGAAUAAGCGCAGAUUACCGGAAUUCUUUGAAACUAUAUGCUGCUGGAAUAAUUAUGGAGUUCAGUUAUUUCCUUUUGAGACCAGUGGAGUGUUGGACUUCAUUUUGAAAGUUUUAUUACUGCAAUAGAAAAUGAUGAUACUCCCUGUUGAAAGACGCAUUGAAGCUUAUGAUGGUGAAAACGAUGAUCUCGACAACUUUGAGGCGUUGUUAUCAGUACCUGAGGACUCACCUUUUCUUCAAAGAGUUAUUGAAGCGGAGCCUAUUGCUGCAGCAGCUCAAGUGCCGGUGGAGCAGAAUGAGAAUCAGCUUGGACCAAAUGACUUGCAAGCCUGCCUUCGCCAAGGGGAAUGGAACCGUGUGCUAGACAUCUUGACACAGAUGGUACUAGAUGGAAAAGCUGCUGCUACUGCUGUGGGCAAUGAUCCACACCCUCUAGAUAUCAGGAGAACACACCCUGAGCUAGUAGUCCUGCUUCGAGGCCAAGCUUUAUUUGAUCUGAGGGGAAUGGGUAAUGCCAUUCGUGCUGAUGCAUACUACCGUGACAAAAUAUCCGUGCGAUCUACCCUGAUGAUUCUAGCACCGGGAUCGAGUUCGUUGACAAACUACUAGCCGAAAUAAAGGUGAUGGUUCGGGGUGAGCAGCUGCCAAGAAAAUGUCGCUUCAAUGACAAGGACAAAACACGCCAGUCUGUCAAUGACUACUUGAAGAUAUACUUUCCUACAUUCCGCUAUAUCUGCAGAGAUGUGAAACAAUGUGAGCGGAGUGCUGUACGCCUAAUCUAGUUGCCACUGUACGUGAUGGUAGAAUACUCGAUCGGAUCGGUGAUGUACACUGUGAAGUGUGAAACAAUGUGAGUGGAGUGUUGUUAGUACGCCUAAUCUAGUUGCACUGUGCGCGAUGGUACAUACUCGGAUCUUAUCGGUUUUCGUCUGUUUCACAGGCAGACAUUGUGACUGUACUGUGUAUGAAUAAGAGUACUCUUCAGUUUUCCCUUAAA